UGGUCCUCUUUGUAUAUGGACCACAUAUUUUUUUAUCGUGUGACAUGCAUGAAUGCAUUAUACAAUGGUGUCUAAGGUACCUAGCGUAUUCUAUAUGCCCCAAGUUCAAGCAAGCGACAUAUCAAUUAACGGUGUACUUAUCUAGUGUGUAGAAAAUACUAAUCAAGACUGCAAUGCAUGGCUACAUGGUAGAGACCACACAUAGAAUGGUUGCACGAAGAACAACCGAACUCAAGAUACUUCCUCGAGAGUGAUCAUUCCAAGCUAGUGGUUUGUGCCUAUGUUCAUUAAAAAAAUCGUUGUCUAUGGAGCAAGAUCUUGCCCUCUGAAGAUACAAAAAAUGUCCACGCUUAGGAUUAUAUUACCCCUAGCAUCAUGUCAAUGGCACACACACUCUAUGUAUGUAUCAUAAAGGGUUUUGAAAAGAUUUGGGCUUGGACAAAAAUCCUAAAAGUGAGGCGAGCCUUUAACAAAGAUUCACAUUGCGAGGCGUCAGCCCCAAAAUGCAUAAUUGCAUUGUCCCCCCACUUCCCAGCCACACCUAAGUUUCCUUUGUCAAGCUAUGCAUGCCAUCACACUACUCGCUAUAGGUCGUUGCUUGCUCCCACCUCAGCGCAUCAUUCUCCAAUGAACCUCCUCCAUCUUCCUUGGGUUCUCUAGGCAUCCGUUGCUAGAUUGUAGUGAGUAUGCUGUAAAGGGCACAUACGGAUCAUUGCAUAAGGAAACAAACCAAGCUCAACAUACUUUUCUCACAUUCCAAGCAAUUGGUAUGUGCCUAUAUUCAUAAUGACGUGUUUGACUAUGGAGAAAAAUCCUUCCCAUGGAAGGCAUCAGCGAAAAAAUUAGCAUGUUUGGGAUGAUAUUACUACUAACUAAAGAUGUCAAUAACACAAGCUCUAUAUAGGUGUAGUGAGAGUAUGAGAAGAAUUUAGACUGGACUAAAAUUGCAAUAUAGGA
rnacentral:lncRNA from 1 species